GUGGAGGCAGGGAGGUCGCUUUCGAAAAAGUCGCGUCUUCUCGCGCUGGCCCACAGAGCCCCCUUGCGAGCUCCGCCGGUACUGCUGCGGUCAGGGGAUGACCGAUUGGAGGGGUUCUCCGGGCUUUUUAGAGCUUUACAGCGGGCAUCUUUUCUGGGAAAAGCCGGGCGAGAGUCCUUCUCCUGGCAGACCUAACGACGAUUUAGAUACACUUCCUCGAGCAAUAUUCCCUUAAUGCUUUCGCAGCGCCGUGAGGUUGCUCAGUUCACCUCGAGAGUAAAAAUAAUACUUCCAAUCAGAGGCCAGAAUGAGUGAGAUGCCGAGAAAAGAGGGGGUCCCAAAGUGUUACAUCACUCUCCCGUAAAUGAUGUCUGUUUGAAAAACAAUGAUGACUAUGCUCAACUUCUGGGCAAAGUUCAAGAUUUCCAUGAUGCCCAGUCCUUAACAGCUCACAGAAUUAAAGCAAACCUUAAAACAGUAUUCUGCAACACACCUUUAAACAAAACAAGCUGGCGACUCCGCUGGGACUAGGUGCGAGGCGAUAUUUCGCUGAGGGCCGUUUCGACCCCUCGGGACCAUCGGGAAGUUGCUCCUGAACAUUCUCCAGGCGCCGCGGGGAUAAAAUCUCCGGGAGACAGCAGCGAUAGCCCUAUGGGACCGACGGAGCUCUGAUCGAGUCCAAGAACCCUGCGGUGAAGGAAAGAUGGUCUGAACAAAUUCCUGGCCAGGAAUCUAUGGAGUGGGAGCGUUUUAAGUUACCUUGAUGUAUAUCUGCCAAUGUAACCCGCUGUAAGCUAAAAAGAGGAUGGAGCACCUGCUCUCUUGAAUUAGUCCGGAACUUGGAUCCUGACGAGAGAUUGAAGAUCAUUGCGGAUCCAUGUGGGAGGAAAAUUGGGUGUGGGCACUUUGAGUAAUUGGGAUAGUAGCUUUAUUGAUCAUUGUGUUACAGAUAUAAGCAAUGGACAACCAGGGCCCAUUUGAUUUCUCAGCCGUUCCGAUCCCUAAUAUCUCCCCAACCGGCUGCGGAGUGUGAACCUCUUACAAAUGAAAGAAGUCCCUGCUUAGGACACCCUGGAAGCUACCUUUUGAUGCAAAGGAACAGAAAAGAGAAUUCUCUUUAAAUGUGUUUGUUUUGUAAUUGUGGGUGUGAAGGUUGUUGUUGCACUCACUGUAUUGAUUGUGUUUUAUGUAUAAGCUGUAAGGUAGAGUGUGACGUGAAAAUUAUAGAGGAGGUGUUAGUACAUUAUUUGGUAAUAAAUACUGAAGAGAUCCCCUUGUAAUAUUAUCUGAAAAUGAAAAAGCUGAAUAUACCCGAAAUCCCUAGCUAUGUAACAAAUAUCUUUGUCAAAUUGGCAGAAGACAUAGCCCACACUCUGAGUGUAUCAAAUUGUUUUGUAUGUGGAGGAACUAACAUGGGAGAAAAAUGGCCAUGGGAGGCCCAAGAAUUGAACAAUUCCAUAAUAUUAGAAAUGGAUCAGAAAGGUAACCUGUCAUAUAAUAAGGGUAAGGAUGGAGACUGGACAUUGACUACUAGUCUGGUAGGGAAUGUGUGUUUUCAGGGAAAAAUUGUGGCAGGCUGUCAUCAGGUAGGAAGCCUCAUAUGUACAGGCAAAUGGGAAAGUAAGGUAUGGUGGUCAGGAAGCAAGGCCACAGAGGGAACUGAUGAAAUGGCUCUGUUUAAGGUAAAUGGGUUAUCCUUUUUAAAGGAUCCAGAUAAUCAGACCCUUGAAUGGCUGGCUCCUGAGGGACUAUACUGGAUAUGUGGAAAGUUCAAUUUGACUAAUUGCUGCAUAGAAAUUGAUGAAGGCGGAAGUUAUUAAGGAAAUAACAGACAAAAUGGUUAAAAUAGCUCAUGUGCCAGUCCAGACUUGGAAAAGCCUUAAUUUACAGGAUAUGUUUUCAGGAUGGUGGCCAGAGUUACCUGGCCUGCAGGCCAUUUUUGGCCUGGUGGGAUUAGUAGCUGCAGGAUGUAUUUUUCUCCCAUGUAUUUUACCUGUUUGUUAAACCUAUUUCUAAAAGUCUAUCCUUGCUGGUGGAACGUAAAACAACUGCUCAGGUGAUGGCUAUGUGGGAUUACAGACGGCUCCAGCAGGAAGAGGACCUAUAGGUGUGACUCGUCUGGAUAAAAUAGAUGAGUCACAAAGGGGGGUAUGAGCCAGGCUAGGAUUCGAUAUUGGGAUAAAACUCAAAUAUUAGAAAUCCAAAUCUUUGGUCAAGACAGAAGUGCCUCUUCCGUGCCAAGGUGCUGAGAUAGCAGACGGUAUUUGACGUAGGUACAGAAUUGUAAAAGGGCAAACUGACCCUAAACAGAUACAUCCUGUUGUUUAAUGUUUAUUACACCCCAAAUGUCAUGUAUAUCUUAGAGAAGAAAUACUGCUUCCCUUACUGUCCUCUUUACUGCUCUUGAGGUGCCUUUGAGCCCCUUAUCUCCUCUUUAUUAUGUCUUGAGCUCCGGAGCUGAGAACCUGAGCCUGUGGGAAAAGGGCUGUUAUGUCUUUCCUAGAGAUAGAUUAAAGGGUAACCUCUACAUGUGAAAUGUCUCACUCUUCGUAAUAACUUUGCCUUUAUACUGUAUAAAUAUCGGGCCAAAAGCAGCCAUCAUUGUUCAGAUCCUUCGCUGUCUUUGGGCUGUUUGAACCUUGCGCAAUAAACUCUUUCCUGCAUUGAA